GUGGUUGGAGUAGCCAGGGUUCAAGCUGGAACCAAUCAAACCAGGAAGAAAAAGUUUCUGAGGAUUCUGGUGGUGGCUGGAAAAAAGAACCUGGUUCUUCUCAAGGUGGUGGCUGGAAAAAGGAAUCGGGUUCUUCCUCUGAAGGUGGUGGCUGGAACAAAGAACAGAGUUCUGGUGCUCAAGGUGGUGGUGGAGCCUGGAACAAAGAACAGGGCUCUAGUGCUGAAGGCGGCGGCGGUGGCAGUGGCGGCGGCGGCUGGAACAAAGAAACUGGUUCUACUGGUGGUGGUGGCUGGAACAAAGAACAGGUUUCAGGUUGGAGCAAAGGUGCUGGUUUGGGAGAUGCGGUCACAAAUGGAGAUCAGGCUAAGACUUGGAAUGAGUCUAGCGGGGAUCAAUCAUCUGGUUGGAAUCAAUUAAAAGAAGG
rnacentral:lncRNA from 1 species